UUUGGCGCCAGACGUCGACCACUGUGUUCUCAGUUGCAUAGCAAGGAGGGGUGUGGGGAUCCCGUUGGAGGGGCAGGCAAUGGUGAUCGCUGUAGAGGAGACAAUGGAAAGUUGAAGUAGGAAAAGUUGCUUCACAUACUGCAGCUCCUGAUAUUUGGUCAACCUUGGGACAAGAUGAGAGGAAAGUAAGGGGAGGGAAGACUCAUGUUAUGCGUGCAGUGCCCGGGCAGGGGCAAUAAUGAUUCAGAGUCUCUUCAUGACGUCUGGGGACUCCAUUGUAGGCUUCAUUUUGUUGACUGUCUCUUGCAGCUGUUGCUUGGUUUCCUCAUCCAAAUUCCUUAUCAAGUCCCAGCCAAGUAUCUCAUCAUUCAAACAGGCCAUGAUAAGAAUGUAACUGAUGAAACUGACAUCUUUACUGAUUGCUGCACAGCUAUAAUGUUGAGUACAUUGUACAUUAUCAACAACUGUGUCUUGAUCUCACCUCUUGUCACACUGUGCCACCUGUUGAUACAAAAUGUUUGCUUUGUCCAGAGGAAUACGGUUUAAAGCAAUUAUACAAAUGAAAAAAAGGUGAAUGCAGUAGAAGUAGAAUAAUAUAACCUUGUCAUUUCUUUAAUCAUUUGCACCAAUAAGGCCCCCAUGGGACACAAAUUAAACGUGUCUAUCAUUGACAAACAUACUUGGCCAAUAUUUUAACACAAAAUAAUGUCUCCGUAAGAAAAAUACCUCUGGUAGCAGGACAUCAAAAAUAUAUUUCACCCUGUCUUGUGUGGCUCUGUGUGGAAGGGUGGUAUCCAACAACCCAACAUCCAACAACCCAACAUCCAACAAAGAGUGUGUACACUCUGUCAAAUUGGUCUUCAUUGAACCAAAUGCAGGCCAAGCCAUCUGCAGCAUGCUGCCAGAAAGCUUUCUCUGUCCCUCUGACAAGUGCCCACAAGCAUAAAUGUAUACAAAUGUAUAUAAAUGUAUAUACAUGCAUUUAUAUACAUUUAAAUGUAUAUAAAUGUAUAUUAUAGAGACUAUCUUACAUCAUCAUUUGUGACGUGACAUUUUUGACAGUCUGAUUAGUACUGAAAGAGGAAGUUGAUUUUAAACAAGUGAGUCAGAGACAAUUAAAACCCUACAACAAUGAAGAGCAUAGUUGUAACAGCUUGUAUUUAAUCAAGUUAUAAAAUGUCUGGUUAUCAACACCAAACCAGAAAUAUGUUCAUCUACAAAAAAUUGUCAGUUGUGUAAGCAGGUACUUGUUCUGUGACUUAAUGUCAUUUUUAGAUAAGUUUCUGUGACAAUGUGUCAGUGUAAUUAGGUUUGUACCAAAAGGGCCAUGUUAUGUUAAGCAGGUUUACAUGAAGCCAAAUGAAGAAAGGUUUUGAAACCAGAUCAACAACAACCAGAAAUUUUUCAAAACCCACUUGAAGAUGUUCUACUACCACCUUGUCCUGUGCUAUAAAACUCACAAGUGCUUCAUUGGCAAGGUGAUGUGCAUCUUCUGCUUUUCGUGCUUUUUCCAGGUGAAAACAUUUAGAUUAAGGUUAAAUGAUUAUAUUUGUUCUCAUUUUGUGCUGUACAAUGUUUACAUCAAAUAUUUGCAUUGUAAUACUAAGAAUGUGCCAUUGCACAUUGUGCAUCGCAUAUGUAUCUGGCCCGUAAACAAAUAAAGCUAUCUUUUUAUCAGAUUAGAAGUUGUAUGCAUUUCUAGAUAUAUAAACACCUGGCUCACUCCUGUUACUAGCAAACAGACCAUGAGCCAGUACUCGUAAAAAUAUUUGAUAACAUUUCUUUAAUCUUUUUAGAUCUACUGUCUUUAGCAUCCAUGGAUGUAAGUCCACACUUUGUUGAGAUCAAGUUGGUACAAAUUAAUUAUGUUAAUGUAACACUAAGCAAUUGUUAGUUUGCCCCACUUGUUUCAUCAAAGUCCUAAAUAAUGGUAAAAUGAUAGUAAAAUGUCAACCAUGCAUUGCUAAUUUGUUAUAACAAACGGUAUGAUGGUGAUAGGCAUGAAUAUAUUUAAGAGCUUAAUCCUUAACAAGCCAAAUCAAAGAUAUAGGCAAUGUUCCAAAGUUUUGAGGAAAAUCCCUUAAAUUUGGUUCACAGUUAUUUACAACUACCACAUGCAUCCGAUCAAAGAUAAAAGAGACAACUUUAAUUCUGAUCAUGGGCACCAAGUGUGGUUUUCAUUAAAGUUAGAUUUUAAAUUAGGAAUAAGAGUCCUAUUGGUAAUUCUUGUAAAAAAUGAAUAAAAGUCUUGUAAGACGUAAUAGAAAAUAAAACUGAUUUCCAAUAGGACUGUGAAAAUCCCACAACAACCAAAUAUUUUUUCUUACAAAAGGGGAUAAAAAGUCUUAUGGGAUUUUUAGAAAUGUAUAGUUAUCCUAAGGGAUUUCAUUGGAACCAACAGCAAAAAACAUGCAUGCACAAUACUGUG